AAGGUUUUCGGAUCGUAAAACUCUGUUGUCAGGGAAGAACAAGUGCCGGAGUAACUGCCGGCGCCUUGACGGUACCUGACCAGAAAGCCACGGCUAACUACGUGCCAGCAGCCGCGGUAAUACGUAGGUGGCAAGCGUUGUCCGGAAUUAUUGGGCGUAAAGCGCGCGCAGGCGGUUUCUUAAGUCUGAUGUGAAAGCCCCCGGCUCAACCGGGGAGGGUCAUUGGAAACUGGGAAACUUGAGUGCAGAAGAGGAGAGUGGAAUUCCACGUGUAGCGGUGAAAUGCGUAGAGAUGUGGAGGAACACCAGUGGCGAAGGCGACUCUCUGGUCUGUAACUGACGCUGAGGCGCGAAAGCGUGGGGAGCGAACAGGAUUAGAUACCCUGGUAGUCCACGCCGUAAACGAUGAGUGCUAAGUGUUAGAGGGUUUCCGCCCUUUAGUGCUGCAGCUAACGCAUUAAGCACUCCGCCUGGGGAGUACGGUCGCAAGACUGAAACUCAAAGGAAUUGACGGGGGCCCGCACAAGCGGUGGAGCAUGUGGUUUAAUUCGAAGCAACGCGAAGAACCUUACCAGGUCUUGACAUCCUUUGCCACUUCUAGAGAUAGAAGGUUCCCCUUCGGGGGACAAAGUGACAGGUGGUGCAUGGUUGUCGUCAGCUCGUGUCGUGAGAUGUUGGGUUAAGUCCCGCAACGAGCGCAACCCUUGAUCUUAGUUGCCAGCAUUCAGUUGGGCACUCUAAGGUGACUGCCGGUGACAAACCGGAGGAAGGUGGGGAUGACGUCAAAUCAUCAUGCCCCUUAUGACCUGGGCUACACACGUGCUACAAUGGAUGGUACAAAGGGCUGCGAGACCGCGAGGUUUAGCCAAUCCCAUAAAACCAUUCUCAGUUCGGAUUGCAGGCUGCAACUCGCCUGCAUGAAGCUGGAAUCGCUAGUAAUCGCGGAUCAGCAUGCCGCGGUGAUACGUUCCCGGCCUUGUACACAC
rnacentral:rRNA from 1 species